rnacentral:rRNA from 1 species
GACGAAGGAUGCAAGCGUUAUCCGGAUUCAUUGGGUUUAAAGGGAGCGUAGGUGGCCUUAUAAGUCAGUGGUGAAAUCUCUGGGCUUAACCCAGAAAUUGCCAUUGAUACUGUAGGGCUUGAGUAUAGUUGCCGUUGGCGGAAUAUGGCAUGUAGUGGUGAAAUACAUAGAGAUGUCAUAGAACACCGAUUGCGAAGGCAGCUGACGAAACUAUAACUGACACUGAGGCUCGAAAGUGUGGGGAUCAAACAGG